rnacentral:rRNA from 1 species
GACGAACGCUGGCGGCGUGCCUAAUACAUGCAAGUAGAACGCAGUUGCGAACGGGUGAGUAACGCGUAGGUAACUGCCUCAUAGCGGGGGAUAACUAUUGGAAACGAUAGCUAAUACCGCAUCCUGUGAGAUGGACCUGCGUUGUAUUAGCUAGUUGGUGAGGUAAAGGCCCACCAAGGCGACGAUACAUAGCCGACCUGGGAGGGUGAACGGGGACACUGGGAAUGAGACACGGCCCAGACUCCUACGGGAGGCAAGCGUAGGGAAUCUUCGGCAAUGGGCGGAAGGCUGAACGGACAACGCCGCGGGAGUGAAGAAGGUUUUCGGGUCGUAAAGCUCUGUUGUUAGGGAAGCGGUAACUGACCAGAAAGGGACGGCUAACUACGUGCCAGCAGCCGCGGUAAUUC